UGGGGAAUAUUGGACAAUGGGGGCAACCCUGAUCCAGCAAUGCCGCGUGUGUGAAGAAGGCCUUCGGGUUGUAAAGCACUUUUAUCGGGAACGAAACAUUGUCGGCCAAUACCCGGCAAGACUGACGGUACCCGAGGAAUAAGCACCGGCUAACUCCGUGCCAGCAGCCGCGGUAAUACGGAGGGUGCAAGCGUUAAUCGGAAUUACUGGGCGUAAAGCGUGCGCAGGCGGUUUGUUAAGUCCGCUGUGAAAUCCCCGAGCUCAACUUGGGAAUUGCAGUGGAUACUGGCAAGCUGGAGUAUGGUAGAGGAAGGUGGAAUUCCCGGUGUAGCAGUGAAAUGCGUAGAGAUCGGGAGGAACACCAGUGGCGAAGGCGGCCUUCUGGACCAAUACUGACGCUCAUGCACGAAAGCGUGGGGAGCAAACA
rnacentral:rRNA from 1 species